rnacentral:rRNA from 1 species
UACGUAGGGGGCAAGCGUUGUCCGGAUUUAUUGGGCGUAAAGAGCGUGUAGGCGGCCAGGUAGGUCCGCUGUGAAAACUCGAGGCUUAACCUCGAGAUGUCGGUGGAAACCAUCUGGCUAGAGUCCGGAAGAGGAGAGUGGAAUUCCUGGUGUAGCGGUGAAAUGCGCAGAUAUCAGGAAGAACACCCGUGGCGAAGGCGGCUCUCUGGGCCUUACCUGACGCUGAGGAGCGAAAGCGUGGGGAGCGAACAGG